rnacentral:rRNA from 1 species
GAUGAACGCUGGCGGCGUGCCUAAUACAUGCAAGUCGAGCGAACAGACGAGGAGCUUGCUCCUCUGAUGUUAGCGGCGGACGGGUGAGUAACACGUGGAUAACCUACCUAUAAGACUGGGAUAACUUCGGGAAACCGGAGCUAAUACCGGAUAAUAUUUUGAACCGCAUGGUUCAAAAGUGAAAGCCGGUUUUGCUGUCACUUAUAGAUGGAUCCGCGCUGCAUUAGCUAGUUGGUAAGGUAACGGCUUACCAAGGCAACGAUGCGUAGCCGACCUGAGAGGGUGAUCGGCCACACUGGAACUGAGACACGGUCCAGACUCCUACGGGAGGCAGCAGUAGGGAAUCUUCCGCAAUGGGCGAAAGCCUGACGGAGCAACGCCGCGUGAGUGAUGAAGGUCUUCGGAUCGUAAAACUCUGUUAUUAGGGAAGAACAAAUGUGUAAGUAACUAUGCACGUCUUGACGGUACCUAAUCAGAAAGCCACGGCUAACUACGUG